rnacentral:rRNA from 1 species
AUUGAACGCUGGCGGCAUGCUUUACACAUGCAAGUCGAACGGUAACACGCGUUCUUGCGCUUGCGGGUGGCUGGCGGGCGGGUGAUGAAUCCAUCGGUACCUGUCCUGGGGUGGGAGAGAACCCGACGAAAGCCGAAUUCAUCCCGCGUUCGAUGUACGAAAGAAAGCGGCGGGCCUUCAGUGCUUGGGCUCUCGGGUUUGCAGCUGCCGAUGUAGGAUUAGGUAGUUGGUGGGGUAAAGGCCUACCAAGCCGACGAUCUGUAGCUGGUCUGAGAGGACGACCAGCCACACUGGGACUGAGACACGGCCCAGACUCCUACGGGAGGCAGCAGUGGGGAAUUUUGGACAAUGGGCGAAAGCCUGAUCCAGCAAUGCCGCGUGUGUGAAGAAGGCCUUCGGGUUGUAAAGCGCUUUUGUACGGAAAGAAAUGGCUGGCGCUAAUACGGGCGGGUGAUGACGGUACCGGAAGAAUAAGCACCGGCUAACUACGUG